GUUGAUAGUUUUUCCGCUGUCUUGCUACACUUUUCCUCUUCCGCCAUUUGCUCCGUUCGACUUCAUGGUCUCCAGCCAUUUUCAGAUAAGAUCUUGGACGGUUUGCAUUUCACUAUUUUCAUGCAAGAUCUUUGGGUGUGCGCCUAUUUCUUUCCGAACAUCCAGUGUUCUGUAGCAUGCCGUUUUUCCUCCCGUUUUUUUUUCCUCUAAAAAAAAGAACACGGUUGCUGGCCAUUUCAGAUGUGAUGCCAGCUCUCCUGGGUGCAUGUCUAUGCAUAGCUCUUAGCCCGGCCCUUUGCUGCCUCAUCUCUACGACUCUACCUACCUCGGUUUAUUUUUAUAUAACCCAGUUGAUCCGGCCAUCUUAUGCCUAGUCUUAUUUUAUUUCUUUUUUUGUCAGCACCAUUUUAGUCGGAGAUCCACUCUGCCGGACUCUAUUUGGCCUGCUCAAUUACCUGGUAAGACCGGCUCAUCAAGUGAUUACCUUUUGGGGCAACGAGUUUUCUGAGAAGCGCCGCCGCUACUGCAAGUCUGCAACGGUUGUCGCCUUUGCCUGGGUGUUUACAGAUUUAGUUUAGCAGAUACAGGAGUAUCGUGGCCCCUUCACCUACCAUUCCAGAUUUAAGCUAUUUGGAACUACAAAGCUAGAUGCAUGAAACAUUUUGUAAGGGAUCCUAGACUAGCAGCAUCUUUGAUCCACGAAAGGCUGCAAUUGCCAUCAGAAGGACUAGCAGCAUCCUGGUAAUUACCUAGGCAAGAUUAGCUAUUCUGUGCAAA